AUUGAACGCUGGCGGCAGGCCUAACACAUGCAAGUCGAACGAGUGGCGGACGGGUGAGUAAUGUCUGGGAAACUGCCUGAUGGAGGGGGAUAACUACUGGAAACGGUAGCUAAUACCGCAUACUAUCAGAUGUGCCCAGGUGGGAUUAGCUAGUAGGUGGGGUAAAGGCGCACCUAGGCGACGAUCCAUAGCUGGUCUGAGAGGAUGACCAGCCACACUGGAACUGAGACACGGUCCAGACUCCUACGGGAGGCAGCAGUGGGGAAUAUUGGAAAAUGGGCGAAAGCCUGAUGCAUCCAUGCCGCGUGUAUGAAGAAGGGCUUCGGGUUGUAAAGUACUUUAAGUUGGGAGGCGUUACCAGCAGAAUAAGCACCGGCUAACUUCGUGCCAGCAGCCGCGGUAAUAC
rnacentral:rRNA from 1 species